rnacentral:rRNA from 1 species
UACGUAGGCAGCGAGCGUUGUUCGGAUUUACUGGGCGUAAAGAGUGCGUAGGCGGUUUUCUAAGUUUGGUGUGAAAUCUCCCGGCUUAACUGGGAGGGUGCGCCGAAGACUGGAAGGCUUGAGUAUGGGAGAGGUAAGCGGAAUUCCUGGUGUAGCGGUGAAAUGCGUAGAUAUCAGGAGGAACACCUGCGGUGUAGACGGCUUACUGGACCAUCACUGACGCUAAGGCACGAAAGCGUGGGUAGCAAACAGG